rnacentral:rRNA from 1 species
ACGUAAUAGAUACCCUGGUAGUCCACGCCCUAAACGAUGUCUACUAGUUGUUGGUGGAGUAAAAUCCAUGAGUAAACGCAGCUAAACGCGUGAAGUAGGCCGCCUGGGGAGUACGGUCGCAAGAUUAAAAACUCAAAAGAAUUGACGGGGGCCCGCACAAGCGGUGGAUUAUGUGGAUUAAAUUCGAUGCAACGCGAAAAACCUUACCUGGCCUUGACAUGCCACUAACGAAGCAGAGAUGCAUUAGGUGCCCGUAAGGGAAAGUGGACACAGGUGCUGCAUGGCUGUCGUCAGCUCGUGUCGUGAGAUGUUGGGUUAAGUCCCGCAACGAGCGCAACCCUUGCCAUUAAUUGCCAUCAUUUAGUUGGGCACUUUAAUGGGACUGCCGGUGACAAACCGGAGGAAGGUGGGGAUGACGUCAAGUCCUCAUGGCCCUUAUGGCCAGGGCUUCACACGUAAUACAAUGGUCGGUACAGAGAGUUGCCAACCCGCGAGGGGAGCUAAUCUCAGAAAGCCGAUCGUAGUCCGGAUUGUUCUCUGC